rnacentral:rRNA from 1 species
CCCCAGCUUGCUGGGGUGAUUAGUGGCGAACGGGUGAGUAACACGUGAGUAACCUGCCCUUAACUCUGGGAUAAGCCUGGGAAACUGGGUCUAAUACCGGAUAUGACUUCUCAUCGCAUGGUGGGGGGUGGAAAGCUUUUUGUGGUUUUGGAUGGACUCGCGGCCUAUCAGCUUGUUGGUGAGGUAAUGGCUUACCAAGGCGACGACGGGUAGCCGGCCUGAGAGGGUGACCGGCCACACUGGGACUGAGACACGGCCCAGACUCCUACGGGAGGCAGCAGUGGGGAAUAUUGCACAAUGGGCGCAAGCCUGAUGCAGCGACGCCGCGUGAGGGAUGACGGCCUUCGGGUUGUAAACCUCUUUCAGUAGGGAAGAAGCGAAAGUGACGGUACCUGCAGAAGAAGCGCCGGCUAACUACGUGCCAGCAGCCGCGGUAAUACGUAGGGCGCAAGCGUUAUCCGGAAUUAUUGGGCGUAAAGAGCUCGUAGGCGGUUUGUCGCGUCUGCCGUGAAAGUCCGGGGCUCAACUCCGGAUCUGCGGUGGGUACGGGCAGACUAGAGUGAUGUAGGGGAGACUGGAAUUCCUGGUGUAGCGGUGAAAUGCGCAGAUAUCAGGAGGAACACCGAUGGCGAAGGCAGGUCUCUGGGCAUUAACUGACGCUGAGGAGCGAAAGCAUGGGGAGCGAACAGGAUUAGAUACCCUGGUAGUCCAUGCCGUAAACGUUGGGCACUAGGUGUGGGGGACAUUCCACGUUUUCCGCG